UUCCAGCUCCAAUAGCGUAUAUUUAAGUUGUUGCAGUUAAAAAGCUCGUAGUUGGAUUUCGGGCGGGUUUCGUCGGUCCGCCUCUGGUGUGCACUGCCGAAGCUCGCCUUUCUGUCGAGGACGGGCUCCUGGGCUUCAUUGCUCGGGACUCGGGCUCGACGAGGUUACUUUGAGUAAAUUAGAGUGUUCAAAGCAGGCGAUCGCCCUGAAUACAUUAGCAUGGAAUAGCAUGAUAGGACUCUGGCCUAUCUUGCUGGUCUGUAGGACCGGAGUAAUGAUUAAGAGGGACAGUCGGGGGCAUUCGUAUUUCAUUGUCAGAGGUGAAAUUCUUGGAUUUAUGAAAGACGAACUUCUGCGAAAGCAUUUGCCAAGGAUGUUUUCAUUGAUCAAGAACGAAAGUUGGGGGCUCGAAGACGAUUAGAUACCGUCGUAGUCUCAACCAUAAACGAUGCCGACCAGGGAUUGGCGGGUGUUCUUUUAAUGACCCCGCCAGCACCUUGAGAGAAAUCAGAGUCUUUGGGUUCCGGGGGGAGUAUGGUCGCAAGGCUGAAACUUAAAGGAAUUGACGGAAGGGCACCACCAGGCGUGGAGCCUGCGGCCUAAUUUGACUCAACACGGGAAAACUUACCAGGUCCAGACACGAGGAUGAUUAACAGAUUGAGAGCUCUUUUUUGAUUUUGUGGGUGGUGGUGCAUGGCCGUUCUUAGUUGGUGGGUUGCCUUGUCAGGUUGAUUCCGGUAACGAACGAGACCUCAGCCUGCUAAAUAGUCACGUUUCCUUUCUGGAUACGCUUGACUUCUUAGAGGGACUAUUGUCGUUUAGGCAAUGGAAGUGUGAGGCAAUAACAGGUCUGUGAUGCCCUUAGAUGUUCUGGGCCGCACGCGCGCUACACUGAUGCAUUCAACGAGCCUAUCCUUGGCCGAGAGGCCUGGGUAAUCUUUGAAACUGCAUCGUGAUGGGGAUAGAUUAUUGCAAUUAUUAGUCUUCAACGAGGAAUGCCUAGUAAGCGCGAGUCAUCAGCUCGCGUUGAUUACGUCCCUGCCCUU
rnacentral:rRNA from 1 species